GAUGAACGCUGGCGGCGUGCCUAAUACAUGCAAGUCGAGCGAAUGGAUUAAGAGCUUGCUCUUAUGAAGUUAGCGGCGGACGGGUGAGUAACACGUGGGUAACCUGCCCAUAAGACUGGGAUAACUCCGGGAAACCGGGGCUAAUACCGGAUAACAUUUUGAACCGCAUGGUUCGAAAUUGAAAGGCGGCUUCGGCUGUCACUUAUGGAUGGACCCGCGUCGCAUUAGCUAGUUGGUGAGGUAACGGCUCACCAAGGCAACGAUGCGUAGCCGGACUGAGAGGGUGAUCGGCCACACUGGGACUGAGACACGGCCCAGAGUCCGACGGGAGGCAGCAGUAGGGAAGCUUCAGCAAUGGACGAAAGGCGAAAGGAGCAACGCCGCGUGAGUGAUGAAGGCUUUCGGGUCGUAAAACUCUGUUGUUAGGGAAGAACAAGUGCUAGUUGAAUAAGCUGACACCUUGACGGUACCUAACCAGAAAGCCACGGCUAACUACGUGCCAGCCGCCGCAGUAA
rnacentral:rRNA from 1 species